rnacentral:rRNA from 1 species
UACGUAGGCAGCGAGCGUUGUUCGGAGUUACUGGGCGUAAAGAGUGCGUAGGCGGUUUUCUAAGUUUGGUGUGAAAUCUCCCGGCUUAACUGGGAGGGUGCGCCGAAGACUGGAAGGCUUGAGUAUGGGAGAGGUAAGCGGAAUUCCUGGUGUAGCGGUGAAAUGCGUAGAUAUCAGGAGGAACACCGAUGGCGAAGGCAAUCCCCUGGACCUGUACCGACGCUCAUGCACGAAAGCGUGGGGAGCAAACAGG